rnacentral:misc_RNA from 1 species
UCCUGGUUAACCCAGGCAGUCUCAUUAGAGUCCCCACCUCGCGUGUUGGCAACUAAUGAUAAGGGUUGCGCUCGUUGCGGGACUUAACCCAACACCUCACGGCACGAGCUGACGACAGCCAUGCAGCACCUAUACAGAAAUCCUUGCGGAAAUUGCCAUCUCUGGCAACGCUCUCUGCACUUCGAGCCCAGGUAAGGUUCUUCGCGUUGCAUCGAAUUAAACCACAUGCUCCACUGCUUGUGCGGGCCCCCGUCAAUUCUUUUGAGUUUCACCCUUGCGAGCGUACUCCCCAGGCGGUAUACUUAUCGCGUUAGCUACGACACAAUCAGGGUUGAGCCUAAUUACAUCAAGUAUACAUCGUUUACGGCAAGGACUAC